AGUGAACGCUGGCGGUAGGCCUAACACAUGCAAGUCGAACGGCAGCACAGGAGAGCUUGCUCUCUGGGUGGCGAGUGGCGGACGGGUGAGGAAUACAUCGGAAUCUACUUUUUCGUGGGGGAUAACGUAGGGAAACUUACGCUAAUACCGCAUACGACCUACGGGUGAAAGCAGGGGAUCUUCGGACCUUGCGCGAUUGAAUGAGCCGAUGUCGGAUUAGCUAGUUGGCGGGGUAAAGGCCCACCAAGGCGACGAUCCGUAGCUGGUCUGCGAGGAUGAUCAGCCACACUGGAACGGAGAGACGGUCCAGAUGCCAACGGGAGGCAGCAGUGGGGAAUAUUGGACAAUGGGCGCAAGCCUGAUCCAGCCAUACCGCGUGGGUGAAGAAGGCCUUCGGGUUGUAAAGCCCUUUUGUUGGGAAAGAAAUCCAGCUGGUUAAUACCCGGUUGGGAUGACGGUACCCAAAGAAUAAGCACCGGCUAACUUCGUGCCAGCCGCCGCAGUAA
rnacentral:rRNA from 1 species